rnacentral:rRNA from 1 species
CGCCUGUUUAACAAAAACAUGUCUAUUAGGAGUUGUUAAUAGUCUAACCUGCUCACUGACGUUUAGUUUAAAGAGCCGCGGUAUUUUGACCGUGCAAAGGUAGCAUAAUCAUUAGUUUUUUAAUUGGAAACUUGUAUGAAUGGUUGGACAAAAGAAUAGCUGUCUCUAGUGAAAAAAUUGAAUUUAACUUUUAAGUGAAAAGGCUUAAAUUUUUCAGGGGGACGAUAAGACCCUAUAAAGUUUUAUAAUUUACUUUAAUUUAAUUGAAUUAUAAAUAAUAUAAAAGUUUAAUUGGAGAAUGAUAUUUUGUUGGGGCGACAUAGGUAUAAAUUUUAUAACUGCUUAAGUUUAAUACAAUAAUAAUUGUUUAGAAUUUAAUUGAUCCUUUAUAAAGAUUUAAGAUUAAGUUACUUUAGGGAUAACAGCGUUAUUUUUUUUAAGAGUCCAUAUCGAAAAAAAAGUUUGCGACCUCGAUGUUGAAUUAAAUGUCUCCUCAGUGCAGCUGUUGAGGAAAGAAGGUCUGUUCGACCUUAAAAUUUUUACAUGAUCUGAGUUCAGACCGG